rnacentral:lncRNA from 10 species
CCACACCUGGCAGGAGCUUUUCUUUUCUUUUUAUUUUUUUAGAGACUGGGUUUUUCUGUGUCACUCAGGCUGGGGUGCAGUGGUGAUCACAGCUCACUGCAGCCUCAAACUCCUGGCCUCAAGCAAUCCUCCUGCCACAGCCUCCCAAGUAGCUGGGACUACAGGUAUGCACCACCAUGCCUGUUUUUUUGUUUGUUUGUUAUGUUUGUAGAGAUGGGAUCUCAUUAUGUUGCCCAGGCUGGUCUUGAACUCCUGGCCUCAAGCGAUUCUCCCACCAUGGCCUCCCAAACUGCCAGGAUUGCUGGUGUGAGCCACGCCUGAACAAGUUUUUCUUUUUAAUUAGCAUGUUUCCCCUAUAAGACAAUAAGUUCAAGAAGGACUAGACUGUGUCUGUCUGUGUUUACUGCUGUAUCCCUAGAGCCUGUGUCUUAGAAGCAUCUGGAACAUGAGAAGUGCUCAGCUCAGUAGAUGUCUGUUGAGUAAAAUGAAUGAAUGAGGAAGCCUUGGGCAUUAGUUGCCUGGACACUAUAGAAGGAUAAUCCUCACCAUUAGAAUUCAUAUUAUCUUGUCUUUUAAUUUUUUCCAUUUUUCCUUCCCUUAGGGGGCAUUUAGGAGUACAUUUCAGUGGGGAUGAAAUGAAAUUUUUAAGUCAAUUAAUUUGGGAUUUUUAGUCUUACACCCCUGUCUUAGCCUCAUCUAUCUGGGUUUUAUCAAGCCAGAGUGAGAGUUAAAUUAGAAGGGCCUGACCCUUGUUGAUUUUGGAGCUCCAUGACUCAGAGUCACAGUGUCUCAGAGACCACAUAUGGUCCAUGGCUCUUCUUUAGGCAGAACAGUUAGUGUGUCAGUUCUCUAUUGUUGCAAAACUAACUGCCCCAAGCUCAGUGGCAUAAAUGACAACCUCUUUAUUCUAUCUCAUAACUUUGCAGUCAGCCGUUUAGGCAGGGCUCAGCUGGCUGGGCGUUCUGCUUUCCUGGCAUUGAUGGGGGUCCCUCAGUGGGACUCAGCUGGUUGAUGGCCUGCUCUGGAUGGACCAAGGUGGCUUCACUGAUGGGGAUGAUAGGAGGGCUGUCAGCUCUCUGUCUCCACAUUGCCUUGGGUCUCUCCAUGUGGUCUCUUCAGCAGCAUAAAUGGACUUCUUCCAUGGUGGCUCAGGACACCAAGAGAACAUGUUCUAGGAGGCAGGAAGAAGCAGCUCGCAGAUUCUUAAGUCUCACGCCUAGAAACGGACACAGCAUCACUUCUACCUAUGCUGCUGGUCAAAGCAGGCACAGAGCCCACUGGAUUGAAGAAAGAGGCAUAGACCCCCACCUUUAAAGGGCUGAGUGUCAGAGAACUUGUGGCCAACAUUAAUCCACCACAACUGGUCAUACCUGGGCUUGAAUUCUUGAAGGAUGGGGGAGCUCUAUUGCACACAGAGCUGCUUUUUCCAUUGCAGAGAGACUUGGAUGGUGAAAACAUUGAUCUUUUCUGUGGAGUGGUUUCCUCUCUCCCUAUUAGUCCACAAAUUUGUCUGGGUCUGAACAGCUAUUUGGAGUCUGGCCUCCCCCGAGAACUCUGUUGGAAAACUACAAUCUCUUUCUUGGGUCGAAUGCAGGUCCCCUGUGCUCUUAGGUUGUACACUUUAGCUCCACUUUGUGGUCUACUGGGAUCAGCAGGUCCAUCCUGUGGGUUAGCCCUGUCCAAAGGUCCCCGGCCACCAAGGGCAGAGCCAGGACUCAAAGGUGGCUGUGAGUCUGUGUGAGUCCCACAACUGCAAUUAUAAGCAUUUGGCUGCAUUUCCUCUCACACUGGUUCUGUUAGCUGUCAAGUGAUAUGGUUUUCAGAAACAAAGUUCACCCACUCACUCAUAUUCAUUCACCCACCCACCCAUUCAUCAUCCAUCCAUCCAUCUACUCAACCAUCCAUCCACUCAUCUACCCAUUCAUCACCUCCCCACCUCCACAUGUAUCCUCCGUCCAUGUAUGGAGCCAAGCACCUACAGGCUCAGGGCACAAGGUCAAAGGAACCCACUGUCUUGGUGACCCCUCACGAUUCUCACCCAUCUCCCAUUUGGAGCCUCUGGUCUUUAGGAAUUUGCUGUCCCUCUCCUGAUCUCUCUGUGGCUGCCCUGUGCUGGGGGCAGAUGAUGGUUCAAGGUUGGAUCCUCACAUUUGCAUUUUCUACCCUUUUGGUCUCAGUGUUGCCGUGGAAACUUUUCUGGAAGUCUUAAAAAAACUGAAGAAAAAAACCAUACAGGAAAUUGUGUCUUGUGUUCUUUGUAGCGAAUCUUGUGCUAAUUUUGAACCCAGCUUUAUUUUUCUUUAUUUUUUAACACCAAAUCUUGAGUGUGAAGAUAGAAGCUUCCUCCAGUGAAGCAGCAGCCCCGGCACUGGGCCUGCAGUGGAGACCGGGAAUGAGAGAAGCCCCUGGCGUGGGCUGGCAAGGACGCAGAGCACGGAGAGCACCUGGGGCAGGGCCGGCGCCAACGGCAUAACACAUGCUGCUGCUCCUCUCCCGCGGGGCCCAUGGAGAUGGCUGGAAGCAGCCCAACGUCAGGGCAGAUCCCUACCUUCACACUCACAUAAGAGAAGAGUGAAGUUUCGGGGACUCCACACCUCAAGGUAGUUCCACCGUGCGAGGUGCUGCGCUCACAGUAUUACUCAUGCACCUUUCUGAUAAGAAAAGUGAAAAUGUGAAGUUGAAAACUGAAGACGCCCAGCAACUUCCUGAAUCCAGCCCUCCACGUCCUGCCCUACGGGACGGACGACUCCCAAAGAGGAAUCGUUGGUGGAAGUCCCAUGUUUCGUUGCCGUUGGAAGGGGGAACUGGUCAAGGCAGGUUCGGUUUCAGGAUCUCACCUCACCUGGGAGCGGGGAGGUGACGGUCCCCCAGCGGGGCAGUCACGCCGCCCUGGCCUUGAGGCCGGACUCCACACUGCGCUUGGCUAGGGUGGUCCGUCCCUCUCUUGGCCACCUGUGUCGGGCAGCCUGACGCCGCAUCUUCCUGAGCAGCUGUCGGCGUUGCCGUGUGGCAGCCACGCUGUUGCAACAUGAGCGGCUGAGGUUUCUGAGGCCCCUCCGGCCAGAAGCUGGCCCAGGUGCUGUGGGCAAGACAUGUGCGAGAGACUGAAUUAGACCCCCUUGGAAAAAAAAACCACGCACACAAACACCAUCCUGCCUUUUUUUUUUUCAGGGCUCAUCUCUGGACCCACACCCCAUAACCAACAUGGAAGCCUGGAUUUGGCCCUGGAUCAGGCUGGCUCCCCAGGGAAGGGUCCAGUCUCUCCGGGGAGACAUCCCGACUUCGGGUCCUGCUUUCUCUACUGUAAUUCGAGGCUGGCCAUGCCCCUCAGUGGGCCUCAGUUUCCUCACCUGUACAGUGGGGAAAUCCAUAGGACCUACCUCCUGGGAGGGCACUGAGGACCGAGGGAAUGAAUGCCUGUCCAGUGCUCAUGAUCGUGACAAGCACUGCGCAGAAUAAAUCCGGAAUAAACGCUCACCGGGUGAGGGAGGGCAGGGAAGAUUUCUAAAAUCCCCCUGAUUUGAGAUGAGAUCUGAUUCACCCACUUAAAAAACCACAUUGGGAAAUAAUUUGAAAUGUACAGGAAAGUUGUAAGAAUCGCACAAAGAAUACUCCCAAACGUUUUGCCCAUACUCACCUGUUUUCUGUGGCAACUUUGAGACAGAAUUCACACGCCAUACAGUUGACCCAUCUCAACUGUACAAUUCAAUGGCCUUUCAUAGUCAGAGUUGUGCAACUGUCACCAGGGUCAAUUUUAGAACGUUUUCAUCACUCUCCUCUCACAAAAAACCCCUCACGUCCCUUGGCUGUCACUCUGCACCUAUUAAUAUUUUUUUGUGUUAAGACUUUUUCUUUGAGAUGGAGUCUCAGUCUGUUGCCCAGGCUGGAGUGCAGUGGCGUACAUCUCGGCUCACAGUAACCUCCACCUCCUGGGUUCAAGCGAUUCUCCUGCCUCAGCCUCCUGAGUAGCUGGGAUUACGGGUGCCCGCCUCCACGCCCGGCUAGUUUUUGUAUUUUUAGUAGAGACAGGGUUUCACCAUGUUGGUCAGGCUGGUCUCGAACUCCUGACCUCGUGAUCCACCUGCCUUGGCCCCACAAAGUGCUAGGAUUACAGGUGUGAAACACUAUGCCCGGUAAAUGUUAAGACUUUUAUGCAUCUUCUUGACCUGUGGUCUUCAGCAUUUGAGUCUUAGGGGACCUUUAAAAUAUUAAGAUAGGCCAGGCACAGUGGCUCAUGCCUGAAAUCCCAGAACUUUAGGAGGCUGUGGUGAGACGAUUGCUUGAAGCCAGGAGUUUGGGACGAGCCUGGGCAUCAUAGUGAGACCCCCAUCUUGGCAAAAAAGUAAACAUAAAAAAUAUUAGCUGGGCAUAGUGGCGAGCAUCUGUAGUUCUAGCUAAUUGGGAGGCUGAGGUGGCAGGAUCCCUUGAGCCCAAGAGUUCAAGAGUAUAGUGAGCUAUGAUUGUGCCACUGCACUCCAGCCUGGGCAAUAGAGUGAGACCCUGUUUCUAAAAAACAAAAGCCAUACUAAAAUACUCUGCAAAGACCUCAUAUUCAUUUAUUCACUCAACAAAUGUUUGUUGAGCACCUGUUUUAUGCCAAGUCCAAUACUAGGAGCUCUGGUUGCAACAGAGAGCAAAACAGACACGGCCCUGCCAGUCACCUGGGGCAGGGAAUCCCCCUGCCCCACUCCCUGCAAUAAUCGAUUGUAGAGAAGAAUUAGCAAAUCACAGCUGAGAAGGGUCUGCUGGAAAACACAGCAGAGGCCUUGACUUUGCCUGAUGAAUGGAGGUGGGCUUCCUGGCAGAGGGGCGUCUGUGGGUGAGGGAGGAAGUAGGACUGGCUGGUCAGAGGGGACGGCACACAGGAAGCUGCUGAGCAGGCAGGAGUGUGCUCCGUGGAGGAGCUAGGAGGAGGCCAGUUCUUAGCUGGAGGGUGGAGAAGGAGGGCUAAAGCCAAGCAUGCAGAGGCCGAGGGAUGUGCAGCGCCGGUCAGCCCACGUGAGAUCUUUCCUCCCUCUCCGUGGACUGGGAACCUCCAUAGUUACCACAUGCUGCGCUGACUUCUCUAACACGCUUUGGCCAAUGAUGUUUCCCUAAUCACAGCAGCUCCUCAUUUAGAAUGUGUUCUUAUUUAGGAUGCGUUCGAGUCUCUGUGAUCUGAACUCCACAUGAGGACUCCCUGGGUCCCUCAGGAACCCAUGUCCUACCAGUUAGACUCCCUUGUUUUAGACCCCUUAUUUCAGCAUUUUAUAAACUCUGUCCCGUAGGAUACUGACCCAUUUGCAACUUAGCCAAAAAAAUGAAAGUUAUGUAGCCAAACAAGCUUUGAAAAUACCCCAUUUCUUUCUGGACGUUUCACAAUGCACAGGAGCAUAUUAAAGGCUCUGAUAAGUCCUGCAGCAAAGAACCAAGUGCUUCCCAAAUGCAGUAGUUCAGGGAACCUCUUUGUUCCAUUACUCCCAUGAAGUUUACAAAACUAGUGCUAUGUGGAAAAUGCUUUGUAAAACACGGAUAAUUCUGCAAGUGAUCUGCCUGAGUGUGGAAUGCAGAUAUCCAGCCAGAGUCUGUAACUUCAGACAUGGUGUGGAAGGCCAAUGUGAAAAGCAGGAAUAGUAGAAUGGUUUUAAAAGGGUUCCCUCUAAUUACUCUUGAGUAGGAAAGUAGGAGCCGCCGACACCUGGGAACUGUCCUGGAGCCCCUGGCCGGGCUGGGCCAUUCUCCGGUUUGACAUAAACCAUCUCCCAGAACACCAGCUGCACAGAAGGUCACUCUGAGAUCACAGUAGUGAGACAAAGACAGGUCACGGUGUCACCCACAAACACCAAUUAUCCCCCUUUCCCCACUAAAAUGAAGAAUGGCUGUUUCUUGACCAAUCUCAGCUUUAUGCUGGUGCCCGUCUCCCCUCUCUAGAGGUGACAGUGAUUGAGGCACCCACUCAGAGAAUUGCCCCCUUUCUUUUGGCUUCUGGUCUACUGAGCCCCACUUCCCUAGACCUUCGCCUUCCCACUACCCACCCAAACCCCAAAUCCUACAGGGGCUCUUCCCAGCACCCUCUCACCCCGAAGUUCCUAUGGGGAGCGUCCACCCUCAUUGCAAGGUGGAAGAAACCUGGCUCUUCAACCAAAGGCCCCCAGGGGAGCGUGGCUGGAGGGCACGACACUCUCAAAAAUAUAUAAUUCUCUGAACAAAAUAUACCUCUGUUCCUUUACAAAUGAAGCAUCUGUUGAAAGUGUGUGGAACUUAUUUUGCAAAGAUAUUCCUUGUGAUAAGGCUUGAUUCCAGGUAACUCUUUUCAAAGUGAGUCACAGACCAGGAAGUCGUAUGGAAUGAGUGAUGGAAAGAUGUAUUUUACACGUUGCCCCUCAAGUCCAAACUUGAACUCAUGUCUCUCUGAACCAGAGUGGAGCUUCCUUCCAUUGCAGCCCCAUAUAUGCUGUCAGGGAGCUAGGGGGCCUGGGAGGGUGGCCACCCUGCACACCGUGUGUUACUGGGUGAGGAUUUGCACGUUUGUGGCUGAGGGGAAGACGUUCACGUUGGAUAGUUGUAAUUUCCAAUCCAGGCCCCAACUCUCUAUAACUGAGUGACUGUGGGUGAGUUUCUCCACGUUCCUGAACCUCAAUUUUCUCAUCUAUGAAGUGGGGAUGCCACUACAAAUCAGGUAGCACCUACAAAUCAGGUUUAAGGAUUUGAGUAGAUAACAUAUGUAAAGUGUUUAGCCAGUACCCUGCCAGCAAAUGGUGACCACCACUGUCACUGUUGUCACUGGUAUUAUCUAGUGGUCAAGGUCAGCGCAUCAGCCUUUGGUCAGUGUUCUUUCUCGGUUAGAGGACUUUUUGACCCCGGGUGUCCAUGAGGGUCACCUGGGGAACCUAAAAACAAUGGACUCCUGGGCUGGCCCCAAGUUUAGGGAGGAACUGGUCCUGG